CUUCAACCCUCAUCGCCAUGGAGGGAUGUGUUCUCUACCUACUGGCUGUGUUUGGGUUCUGUUUCCCAGCCGUUUCUCACAGCCAAAUAUACACUCUGAUCACCCCUAACGUCCUGCGGGUGGAGAGCGAAAAAAAGGUCGUGGUGGAAGCCCAUGGCCUCACCACUCCAACCGAGGUGACAAUCACCGUAUAAGACUUCCCUCUGAAGAGGCUCGUUUUAUACCAAGUCAAAACCAACCUGAACUCUGACAAUGGAAUGAUGGGCACUGCCAUAAUAAAGGUUCCUACCAAAGACAUAAAGAAAGAUGUCAAACAGUAUGUGGCUGUCCAAGCCAGAAGCCCACAAUUCAACUUGGAGAAAGUGGUUCUGGUCACCUUCCACAGUGGCUACAUCUUCAUCCAGACAGAU